UACAGAGUGCUGAUUGGUGUAUUUACAAACCGUUAGCUAGACAUAAAGGUUCUCCAAGUCCCCACUAGACUCAGGAGCCCAGCUGGCUUCACCCAGUGGAUCCUGCACCGGGGCAGCAGGUGGAGCUGCUUGCCCGUCCCGCGCCCUGCGCCUGCACUCCUCAGCCCUUGGGCGGUUGAUGGGACCCUGCGCCGCGGAGAAGGGGGCGGCGCUCGUCGGGUAGGCUCCCGCGCGCAGGAGCCCACGGCGAGGCGGGGGAGGGACUCAGGUAUGGCGGGCUGCAGGUCCCGAGCCCUGCGCCCGCCGGAAGGCAGCUAAGGCCCGGCGAGAAAUCCAUUGCAGCGCCGGUGGGCCGGCACUGCUGGGGGACACGACGCACCCUCCGCAGCUGCUGGCCUGCGCGCUAAGCCCCUCACUGCCUGGGGCCGGCGGGCCGGCCGUCCGCUCAGAGUGCAGGGCCCGGCAAGCCCACGCCCAUCCGGAACUCUAGCUGGCCCGCAAGCGCUGCGCGCAGCCCGUGUUCCCGCCCGAGCCUCUCCCUCCACACCUCCCGGCAAGCUGAGGGAGCUGGCUCCGGCCUCAACCAGCCCAGAGAGGGGCCCCCACAGCGCAGUGGUGGGCUGAAGGGCUCCCUGAGCAUGGCCAGAGCGGAUGCCGAGGCCGAGGAGGCGCCAAGAGCGAGCGAGGGCUGCGAGGACUGCCAGCAAGCUGUCACCUCUCAAUGGGGAAAAGAUGUCAUAAUGAACUGCAAGCAAAUUCCACCAAGAGCUGAUUUAGGCAAAAUCUCCAGAAAAACAUAAAGCUUCAAUAAUGAAUAAAAAAGACCAGAGGAUGCAAAAUUCCACAGGAAUGUCAGAUUUUAUACAACCUCAUAGAGUAAAUGGGAGCAAAGUUAGCAAGAGGUAGAUUGAUUAAGAGUAAUUAUGAAGGGAUGAAAUACCCUCUGACUCUGAAGACACUAAUGUAUUAAUCUGUGGAAUAAGAAAGAACAUACCAGGUAAAACAGAUUUUUGGACUGAGG
rnacentral:lncRNA from 1 species